CCUACGGGUGGCAGCAGUGAGGAAUAUUGGUCAAUGGGAGGAAUCCUGAACCAGCCAUGCCGCGUGCAGGACGACGGCUCUACGAGUUGUAAACUGCUUUUGUAACGGGGUAAAAUGCUCUACGCGGAGGGUUUUGAAAGUAAGGUACGAAUAAGGAUAGGCUAACUCUGUGCCAGCAGCCGCGGUAAUACGGAGGAUCCGAGUGUUAUCCGGAUUCAUUGGGUGUAAAGGGUGCGUAGGUUGUUUUAUAAGUGAGCAGUGAAAUACUGAUUCUAAACAUCGGGGCUGCCGCUGAUACUGUAGGACUAGAGAUCGGAUGCAGCAAGCGGAAUGUGUAGUGUAGCGGUGAAAUGCAUAGAUAUUACACAGAACACCGAUUGCGAAGGCAGCUUACUAGGCCGGAUCUGACACUGAUGCACGAAAGCGUGGGGAUCGAACAGGAUUAGAUACCCGAGUAGUC
rnacentral:rRNA from 1 species